GAUGAACGCUGGCGGCGUGCCUAAUACAUGCAAGUCGAGCGAACGGACGAGAAGCUUGCUUCUCUGAUGUUAGCGGCGGACGGGUGAGUAACACGUGGAUAACCUACCUAUAAGACUGGGAUAACUUCGGGAAACCGGAGCUAAUACCGGAUAAUAUUUUGAACCGCAUGGUUCAAAAGUGAAAGACGGUCUUGCUGUCACUUAUAGAUGGAUCCGCGCUGCAUUAGCUAGUUGGUAAGGUAACGGCUUACCAAGGCAACGAUGCAUAGCCGACCUGAGAGGGUGAUCGGCCACACUGGAACUGAGACACGGUCCAGACUCAUACGGGAGGCAGCAGUAGGGAAUCUUCCGCAAUGGGCGAAAGCCUGACGGAGCAACGCAGCGUGAGUGAUGAAGGUCUUCGGAUCGUAAAACUCUGUUAUUAGGGAAGAACAUAUGUGUAAGUAACUGUGCACAUCUUGACGGUACCUAAUCAGAAAGCCACGGCUAACUACGU
rnacentral:rRNA from 1 species